ensembl:lncRNA
AGGAUAGAGAUAAAUCUAUUUAUUAAUUUGUUCACUUAUUUAAAUCUCCAGAAAUAUAAACUUCACCCUUAUUCACAUAAAAUCAACUGUUGUUGAAUAAUUAAUUAAAUAUCAAUAAAAUCAUUGCAAUAGUAAUAAUAAUUACAAGAAUCAUCAAAAUAAUUACAAUAAUCAUUACUAUCAUGGGACUAUUAACAAUCAUAUCUUCAUAAAAUGUUGAUAAAUAUGUUUUUCAUUGAUCUACAGCACGUGUCAAACUCAUUCCACGGAGCGUUGCGUGUCUGCUGGUUUUCGCUCCUCCCUUGUACUUGAUUGAUGAAUUAAGGUCAAUGAUUAGUAAGGAACUCUCCUCACCUGGUUACCUAGGUCUUAAUUGAAAGGAAAAACCAAAAACCAUCAGACACUAGGCACUCCAUGGAAUGAGUUUUACACCCCUGAUCUACAGUAUGCACACAUAUUAAUGUCUGCAUACAAAUGCCUGUGACGUUCCCUAAUGUCCAUUAAAAGUUUGACAAUAGGAGGGGGUGUCGAGGGGUUAUGGCUUGUCAAGGGGCAUGGCUAACUUUAAGGGAAGUAAAAAGGGGAAAGUCCCCAUCAUAAGGAUAGCAUCAAAGGGAAGGCAAAACACAGAAAUCGAUUACAGGAAUGGCUAUGAGAAAAGGCAUUAUAUCAUAUGUCAGUCAUUGUAAUUAAUAGAUAGGUAGUUUCAAUAUGAUAGGUUAAGGGUUCAGUUGAUUGGUGUGACAAUCUACUUGUGUCUAGGAGUCAUACACAUGAGAUGUUGUAGCACAGCAGCUGAGAAUGAUUUACAUUUGAAACUCGAAAACAUUUCUAUAUUGGCUAAAUCAAUAUAUGGCAAUUCAUUCCUCGUGGCUACAGCAAACAUUUCCAUGCUAUUCACUUGUAUGUUGACCACUUGGUUAUAGACGUGAGAAGAUGUUGAUCUGAGGCUUUUGUAGGUGAAAAGAGAAAUUACCCCAAAGGGGUUGUGGCAUUGUUUAAAAAAAAUCUGAUAUCCGAACAGAGGCACAGUAUCACAUCUCAAUAUAUUGCACCUGUAUCUAUGAAAAGCAUAAUCUUAAGUGCAGUCUACCUAAAUCCCUAACUAUCUCAAAAACGUACUACAAAAUCAACUUACCAUAAGGUCUACUCAUAAAACCAACAAAAUUCUGAAAGUAAAUAUAUAUUCACCUUAAUAGAACUACAGCAUGAGAAAAGAAAAAUUGAAAAAAAAAAAAAAACAUUUCAAGCAAGAUUCUGUAAUAUCUACUGUCCCAAUUUAUAUACAGAAAUUACCAACACAUAAAAGUAUUUCAAAGUGCCAUACAGUUAGACUAGAAGGGAAAGAUAAAACAUUCAUUUAGUUAGAUUCGGCAUGUGUGUCUGUGUGAAAGGGUGUUCUUUCGUGUGUGUGAGGUUUGAAUUUUUAAAGUUUUUUUUGUGCAGAACAGGGUGAUGUAAACAUGCAUGGGGGAAGAAAAACAUGUAGAUUUGUUUUUCCUCAAGUGGGGGGAACCAAGAAAGGACAAUACACAGCUCAAAUGAGAAGACAUGGACAUGGGAUGUGCUCCUGUGUAUUUUUUAAAUCGCUUUUCUGUCUCAGGAACAAUUCUUCACACACACACACACACACACACACACACACGGAACCCUUUUCUUGUAUAUACACAUUCAACUCGGUAUACACACUACCGUUCAAAAGUUUGGGGUCACUUAGAAAUGUCCUUGUUUUUUAAAGAAAAUCACCUGUUUUGUCCAUUAAAAUAACAUCAAAUUGAUCAGAAAUACAGUGUAGACAUGGUUAAUGUUGUAAAUGACUCUUGUAGCUGGAAACGGUCGAUUUUUUAUGGAAUAUCUACAUAGGCAUGGAGAGGCCCAUUAUCAGCAACCACCACUGCUGUGUUCCAUUGGCACGUUGUGUUAAAAAUCCAAGUUUAUCAUUUAAAAAAGGCUAAUUGAUCAUUAGAAAACCCUUUUGCAAUUAUGUUAGCACAGCUGAAAACUGUUGGUCUGAUUAAAGAAGCAAUAAAAUUGGCCUUCUUUAGACUAGUUGAGUAUCUGGAACAACUGCAUUUGUGGGUUCGAUUACAGGCUCAAAAUGGCCAGAAACAAAGAACUUUCUUCUGAAACUAGUCAGCCUAUUCUUGUUCUGAGAAAUUAAGGCUAUUCCAUGCGAGAAAUUGCCAAGAAACUGAAGAUCUCAUACAAUGCUGUGUACUACUCCCUUCACAGAACAGCGCAAACUAACCUGAAUAGAAAGAGUGGGAGGCCCCGGUGCACAACUGAGCAAGAGGACAAGUACAUUAGAGUGUCUAGUUAGAGAAACAGACGCCUCACAAGUCCUCAACUGGCAGCUUCAUUAAAUAGUACCCGCAAAACACCAGUCUCAUCGUCAACAGUGAAGAGGCGACUCCGAGAUGCUGGCCUUCUAGGCAGAGUUGCAAAGAAAAAGCCAUAUCUCAGACUGGCCAAUAAAAGUAAAAUAUUAUGAUGGGCAAAAGAACACAGACACUGGACAGAGGAACUCUACCUAGAAGGCCAGCAUCCCAGUCGCUUCGUCACUCUUCAAUCUCUACACUGUAUUUCUGAUCAAUUUUAUGUUAUUUUAAUGGACAAAAAA